rnacentral:rRNA from 1 species
CACUCCUGCGGGAGGCAGCAGUGGGGAAUUUUGGACAAUGGGCGAAAGCCUGAUCCAGCAAUGCCGCGUGAGUGAAGAAGGCCUUCGGGUUGUAAAGCUCUUUUGUCAGGGAAGAAACGGUGAGAGCUAAUAUCUUUUGCUAAUGACGGUACCUGAAGAAUAAGCACCGGCUAACUACGUGCCAGCAGCCGCGGUAAUACGUAGGGUGCAAGCGUUAAUCGGAAUUACUGGGCGUAAAGCGUGCGCAGGCGGUUUUGUAAGUCUGAUGUGAAAUCCCCGGGCUCAACCUGGGAAUUGCAUUGGAGACUGCAAGGCUAGAAUCUGGCAGAGGGGGGUAGAAUUCCACGUGUAGCAGUGAAAUGCGUAGAUAUGUGGAGGAACACCGAUGGCGAAGGCAGCCCCCUGGGUCAAGAUUGACGCUCAUGCACGAAAGCGUGGGGAGCAAACAGGAUUAGAAACCCGUGUAGUCC